ensembl:lncRNA
GGAAGGUCUAAAAUCAAGGUGUCAGCAUGGUCACCUUCUGGUGGGCGCCUUCUUCCUUAUUCAUAGCUGGCACCUUCUCCCUGAAUCUUCACACGGAGGAAGGGGCCAGGGAUCUCAAUGGAGCCUCUUUUAUGAGGCACUAAAUAAAUCCUAUUCACGAGGGUUCCGCCCCUAUGACAUAAGCACCUCCCAAAGGUCCUACCUACCAACACCACCACAUAGGGCAUUAGGAUUUCAACAUAUGAAUUUGGCAGGGGACACAAACAUUCAGAUCAUAGCAUUCUCUUCUGAUCCCUCACGAGAAUCAUUCUUAACAGUCUAUUCAAGAUAAUGUAUAACAAAGUAAUUAAGAAUAAUAAUGUGCCCAGCUUCAUGCCAGGCAUAUGGCAGGUGUUUCAUUGAAGUUUGUUGAACUAAAGAACCAAGUCAUGAGAAAAGAGCCUGAAGCAGGAGAGAGAUCGAGAGCAAGUGUUAGAAAAGAGCUCUUGCAGAUGAAAAUACUCCCAUUAGAGAGACAGAAAGCUGCAGCAUGAUGCAUGGCCGGCAUUUUGCAGAACAGGAUGGAAGCAAGCAAGACUUUCUAGGCUGUACAUCAUUGGAUAAAGACCUAGAAAUCAAAGAUGUACCUUAAGUACAAACUUUUGGGCAAACGCAUCAGCAAAGCUCAAGACUCAGUGGAAAGAUACUGGAAGAAACAGCAGACAUCCCAUCACCAGUGCUGCACAUGUGACUGGAGUGCAGGAUUCACAGAGGCAGGUGAAGACUGUCCCAGACAAGGGGUUGGUGAUCACCAAUUUCCUCGUAAUUACAGAGGACAUUUAUUCAAGGUUGACUGUGCACCAGGGGCUAUGAUAGUGCUCUGCACACCCAAUCCAUACUUACUCCAACUUGAUCCAAGACAACCCUGUGAGGUGGCUAUUGUUACUAUCUGAGUUGUACCAAUAAAGAUAGUGAGAUGCAGAGAAGUACAUUAACUGUCCAAGAUUUCAUGGCCAGAACUCAAAUAUGUCUGUCUAACUGCCCUGCUCGUAACUACUACACUCUACCACUUCCUUAGGGAGGACCAGGAAACAGAGCAGCACCAUCACUGAUCCUUCUGAUCUGUGGUGUGCAGGUAUUUAUAGUAUUCUGUCUAGCUGUAAGUCAUACAGUAUGGUUUUUAUUCCAGAGUGGAGUCAGUCACUUGAAAAAAAGUCCUUUGUCCUUUCAUAAAAUAUACCUGCAAAACAAUACCUGCAAUACUCCUGCAGAUAAAAAACAAAUAUAAAAAUUUCAGCAAGUACCUGGAAACCACAAAAAUUGGGACAUUGCUUGUUUGCAAGAGAAUCAACUAGAAAUGCUGGAAUUGAAAAAUGUAAUAAUGAAAAUUAAGGACCCAAAUGUUUGAUUUAGCAGCAGGGAAAGGAUGGAAAAUAUGAGAGAAAGAUCCUUAAAUAUACAGGUUUAGCAUGCAUUUAAUUGGAGUCCCAGAGGGAGAGGAGAGAACGAAAAGGUAGAGGUUAUCACUUAUUUCAUUGAUGUGGAGAUGCAUAUUAUUUUUCACACUUUCUCUUUUCUGAAAUCGGGAUGUGUCUUAAACUUCAAGGCAUCUUUGGCUGAAGCUGAGCUGCAGUGAUCUAUCAUCAUCGCCUGUGCAUAUGUAAAUAUCAAAAGUGCAAACAUUAGAACUUUCAGAACGGGGUCAGUGGCUUGGAGGAAAAUCCCGGAGACAGUAGUGGAGCACUCUUCACCUUCUAGGAAACAAAUGGUUAUGGGGAGGGGGUAAAGGAGAUCAGUGAGACACGUUUAACAACAUUCUCUAAGGAGAAGUCAGGAGUAGGCUAGCUCUACAUAAUUUCAAAGCCAGAUUAAGAGCUCAUCACUGAUGGCUUUUAGUUCCUUUACGGAAUCUUUGAGGAAAUGCUGUAUACAGAACAGGAGCCAAAAAGUGGUUCAGAAGACUUGGAUUCUUCAUGGGAAGAAGUUUUAGGAAAACCUACGUGAGUAAUUUAUUUCGCUUAUAUUUUCCUUGUUGGGUAUUGUGAUGGUUAAUUUUAUUUGUCAACUUGGCUGGACCACAGCCAACAUUACUCUGGAUGUUUCUGUGAAGGUGUUUUUGGAUAAGAUUUACAUUUAAACUGGUAGACAUGGAGUAAAGUAGAUUGCCCUCCAUAAUGUGCGUGCGCCUCAUCCAAUCCACUGAAGGUCUGAAUAGAACAAAAGGCUGACUUGUGCUAAGCAAGAAGGAAUUCUCCAGCAGACAGCCUUUGGACUCGAGCUGUAACUCUCCAGAGCCUGUAGCUUGCCGGCCUCCCCCGUCAGAUUGUGGAAUCACCAAGCCUCCACAAUCACAUGAGCUAAUUCCUUAAAACAAACCUCUUUCUUUCUCUAUAUACAUACACAUUCUAUUCGUCCUGAUUCUCUGGAGAACUCUAAUACAGGUAUGAACAAUGAUAUGUAACACAAUUUUAUCU